UAUUGAACUGUCAUUUUAGUAUCUGGGAUAUAAAAACAUGGUGUAACUCUCUGCUUGCUUUUGCAUUACAAGCUACAAAACAAGCCUCAAGUGCUGUUGUUAAUUGCAGUUAGUUUUAAUUUGAUGCUUGUUAAUUUGAAUUUCCCCCUUCAAAUGUAUGUUUACAUUUUUAGUAGGGCUAGCUCAAGCGGCUUACGCGAUCCUUUCACCACAAAUAGGUAUCACGCGCGAUUGUCGCAAAGUGCAAUUUACAAUUUUACACAUUAAAUUCCAAAACUUGUCUUCAUGUGCUUUGUCUUGCUUCAAAACCUUCGGUGUCUAGGUAUGUGUACGGUUUGAGUGGCGCGCGUCCAGCGGAGCGGGCAGCGGCAAAGUGGUCUGUGCAGCGUAAACCAGGCCGCUCGUUGCUCACGUAUCGUAUCGUAUCGUUGCAUUUGUAUAACAUAAACGCCGUACGCUCCGCCCAACGGCACUCAGGUCGUACACUAGCAUAAAAAUCUAGUGCUAAAGCUCUGGUUUCCUAGGAUAGCAGUGCUGUCAUUAUGUUUUUAUCCGUAUUAUUUUGUAUGGAGACGGUCGCUAUAUGACGGCACCGCUACCCUAGGAAAACGGAGCUUAAGAGAGAGGCCGGGGUGUAUUUCAAUCGCUUUCCGACCGACAAAUGUCUUGAUUUCAUAGUUGUCUUAAAACUUGUACAUUCAACAAAAAAGGCAAAUGAUUUAUACUAAGUUUGUUGUUGUCUAGAGACAACUGCCACUUCCAUACGUUUGUCCGAUUGUUUGUGUUAGAAUAGCUUUAUUUUUGCAUUCUUAAGUAUAUGGACCAGAAAUGUAACAGUUAUGUUAGUCUUUUGACUAUGAUGCAGUAGUCUUGCACUUAUUUAGACGCUUGUGUUGAAAUUUUGUAGCUGUACGUGAACUUUUACCAAUAUAUAAAUUCAUUAGUUUUUGGUAAAUUUUGGAUGUUAUCCCAUUCAUUCUGGUUGAAGAUGGGUAUUUCUUAUAUGGCCAUAUUUUAUAAUGUGUAAACUUCUCAACCUUAUUACUCAAAUAUAAAGUCUUUAAUACAUAGGUACAUAUUAUUAAUAUGGUCAUCAUGAUCACACGGAGUGGGUCAAAGACUGGUACUGAACAUAGGUAAAGGAGGAAUGUUGAUAACUGCAAGUUAUGCUCACAGUUUAUGCUUCUUUUGAAGUAAUAGUGGAUAAUGUUAGUAAAAAGAAGGUUGAUUAUAUUUAAAGUUUUGUGUUACUUUAGUGAACACAUUGCAUGCACAUUUUCAACAGAAGAUUUCGAGAAGUUGUCCUAAAAGUUUCACAUGAAGCUAGUUAACAGUUGAGUUUAAUUCGAACUCUAUGGUUUUUAGCUUUUUUUCGAUUCAAAGUUGUCUGUUAUUUAUAAUAGAUUUGUAAUUAAUGUAAUUAUCUAUCAGUUCCAUAUUAAGGCACAUUGAUAGCGCCCCUCUUAAUUUUGAUGCUAGUGAUUAUCUUUAGAUAAUUCCUACCUUGUCUGGUUAGAAAAGGUGCGACUGAAUAUAAACUGCGGGCCAGGAACGGAUUUCCAUGGCCAAUCGCCUCCCGGGCGAAAACUCGUAUAGUGAUUAACGGCUAUGUAUGAUGAACCCUUGUGAACGUCAGCUGCCGCUCCGUUGGUGGGUUGAGGAAUCGCAGCAAAUAGUCUAUAAAUUUUUUUGUCAUCGCCUCCCUUUGUCAGAUGAUAGUUUAGAUUUUAGAUGCUAUUGUUAAUAAAACAAAUCGUCAGCCGGUUGUAUCGCGGUGGAAAGACCGUGUUACGCGUUUCGGUAGCUGCUAUUCCUUAACCCACCAACGGAGCAGCAGCUGACGUUCACGAGGGUUCAUCAUACCUAGCCGUUAACCGCUAUACGAGUUUUCGCCCGGGAGACGAUGACUGACGAAAUUUGCGCCUGGCUCGCGGUCUAAUAGGACACUUGGGUUUUGCGGAAGAGUCAACUCUUGGCGGUUGAUGGUUACGAGUAAAGCAUUCAUUAUUAUAGAGUUUUUAUAAUUUUAUAUAUAAUAUACGUAUAAUAGCUAGAUUUAAAACUGAACAAAUGUUACUUAUUUUUGUGUUAAAGUUGCAUUGACUGGUUCUAUGUGAUUUAUACCUUUUGUUAUGAUCCCUUUGGUUUGCUAAAAAUGCGAGUAGUGUGUCUUUUAAUUGAUAUUGAAAAUUGCCUUUUUGAUGUUAGUUAACGAAAUUGAUAAUGCUAAAGCUAUAAAAAAAUGUAAGUAGGUACUUAGUGUUAAGGUUAGGUGUCUGGGAGACAAAAAGGAACGUGGGUUGCGGUAAUAAAAAAUGUUUUCUUUUAUAGCAAAGAAUUAUUGAAUGUAGAAAAUCUAAUAAAAAUCGUGCUUUUAAUUUGAUAUUUAUGGCAAUGUACAGUCGCCAUCAGAUAUAUCGGAGCGGCCGAGGUGCUCAAAAAUAUCUGAACACGCACUCUUAACACCUUGACAAUAGAGGCGUGUUCAGAUAUUUGUGAGCGCAUUGGCCGUUUCGAUAUAUUGCGACUGUACAGCUCUAUACAAGCAGGGACCGUUACCAGUAUAACUAAAUAAAAAUAUCUCAUAGCAUUCACAAUAUUUUUUUGAUAUUCUAGAAUAGGUAGUGAUGAAUAGGUGAUGAAUACCGGUUAAUUUGUAUGAAAAAUAUACCGGUAGGUGUUUGGUCCCUGCGUACUAGUACGUACAAUCAUGCCGUAGUCUGGCUGUCAGAAGUUUACCAAACAUUUUUCAGCGCCAGCUACUUGAGCUGGCAAACUCGACAAGAUACUUACACCUUACUACUUACUUAGUUAGUUACUCCUCUACAUCUACCAUAGUCUAUAACUCUUUGAUUGAUUGUAAUCGGGCUUGGACCCCUGAUUUGUUACUUUUGGUCGUAGUUUGUGUUACAAGUACUGAUGUGCCGUCGAAAUGUUUCCAAAAUUACGAAAUUUCCACACGGAAAAAUCUCGGAAACUUCUCAUAUUUUUGUAUGAGAAUCAAAAAUUUUCCAUUUCCAAAAUGAAUGUUUCCUGUUUAAUUUUUCUGAUAUUUCCGGGAACUUUUCCAACUGUUUGGAAACUUACCGCAACUUCCACAUCUGUAGCUACAAGCGAUAACAUCUUUCUGACUUCUUCUAGAAGCUACCACUUGUAUGACACUUGUACCCCUUGUAGAGUUAUAAGCAAGGAGCGGAAUUCUCAUAGCAAAAAUCAAUUGUCAAGAGGAAUUGAGGGAUUGGGAUUGUUUUAUCGACUAUCGAUAAAUAUUUGUCACUUAACACGACAUCGUUUAAGUAAUGAAAUUAGACUUUUGGAUUAGCAAAAUAAUGGAUAAAACAGAAAAUAUAUUCAUUUUAUGCUCAAAUGUUACAAAAUAAUGUAAAAGGGUGGUGGUCGGUAAUAUGCGAAAACAUCGAUAACUGGAAUUGUCGAUCUUGAAAUUUGAUUUCUGCAAUGAGAAUUCCGCUCCUUGGUUAUCAGGUUGAUACUACACUCGGGUGUGGUCGUCUCUCGGGCCGCCGAGCGGGGAGUUGCCGGCUUGCUUCAAGCAAUUUGUACUGUAAGAAACUCCAAAGUACCUCUUUAUUUAUAUUCUAAUGUCUAAUAAAAUAUGUAACAUUAUAUAA